rnacentral:rRNA from 1 species
UACAGAGGGUGCGAGCGUUGUUCGGAAUUACUGGGCGUAAAGCGCGCGCAGGCGGCCCUUUAAGUCCGUCGGUCAAAUGCCGGGGCUCAACCCCGAUGCAUGCCGAGGAUACUGGAGGGCUGGAGACACGUAGAGGCAAGCGGAAUUCCGGGUGUAGCGGUGGAAUGCGUAGAGAUCCGGAAGAACACCGGAGGCGAAGGCGGCUUGCUGGGCGUGAUCGGACGCUGAGGCGCGAAAGCGUGGGGAGCGAACAGG